AAGUCGUAACAAGGUUUCCGUAGGUGAACCUGCGGAAGGAUCAUUAAAGAGAGGGACGUUCGCGUUCCGGGGGCUUCGGCCCCUCCUCUUCACCCCGUGUUUACCUUACCACAUUCGUUGCUCUGGCGCAUGGGUCCUUGGGUCGUGCUCCGCCAUGGGGCCGCCGGGGGGUUCCGGGGUCCCCGGGGGGCGACGCCGCUGGCCCGAAAAGCCCAUUUAACUUCUUGAAUCAACCAUGUUGUCUGAGUGAAAACAAAAAUCAAGCAAAAA
rnacentral:misc_RNA from 1 species